rnacentral:rRNA from 1 species
AUCAGUUUGUUGGUGAGGUGAUGGCUCACCAAGACGAUGACGGGUAGCCGGCCUGAGAGGGCGACCGGCCACACUGGGACUGAGACACGGCCCAGACUCCUACGGGAGGCAGCAGUGGGGAAUAUUGCACAAUGGGCGAAAGCCUGAUGCAGCGACGCCGCGUGGGGGAUGACGGCCUUCGGGUUGUAAACCCCUUUCAGUAGGGAAGAAGCGAGAGUGACGGUACCUGCAGAAGAAGCGCCGGCUAACUACGUGCCAGCAGCCGCGGUAAUACGUAGGGCGCAAGCGUUGUCCGGAAUUAUUGGGCGUAAAGAGCUUGUAGGUGGCUUGUCGCGUCUGCCGUGAAAACCCGAGGCUCAACCUCGGGCGUGCGGUGGGUACGGGCAGGCUAGAGUGUGGUAGGGGAGACUGGAACUCCUGGUGUAGCGGUGAAAUGCGCAGAUAUCAGGAAGAACACCGAUGGCGAAGGCAGGUCUCUGGGCCAUUACUGACACUGAGAAGCGAAAGCAUGGGUAGCGAACAGGAUUAGAUACCCUGGUAGUCCAUGCC